CCAGUACUGAGUCAAUGUGCAGGGUACCAGGUAGUUGAGGUAAUAAUGAGACUAUAAGGAGUACCAGUACUGAGUCAAUGUGCAGGGUACCAGGUAGUUGAGGUAAUAAUGAGACUAUAAGGAGUACCAGUACUGAGUCAAUGUGCAGGGUACCAGGUAGUUGAGGUAAUAAUGAGACUAUAAGGAGUACCAGUACUGAGUCAAUGUGCAGGGUACCAGGUAGUUGAGGUAAUAAUGAGACUAUAAGGAGUACCAGUACUGAGUCAAUGUGCAGGGUACCAGGUAGUUGAGGUAAUAAUGAGACUAUAAGGAGUACCAGUACUGAGUCAAUGUGCAGGGUACCAGGUAGUUGAGGUAAUAAUGAGACUAUAAGGAGUACCAGUACUGAGUCAAUGUGCAGGGUACCAGGUAGUUGAGGUAAUAAUGAGACUAUAAGGAGUACCAGUACUGAGUCAAUGUGCAGGGUACCAGGUAGUUGAGGUAAUAAUGAGACUAUAAGGAGUACCAGUACUGAGUCAAUGUGCAGGGUACCAGGUAGUUGAGGUAAUAAUGAGACUAUAA